CCUACGGGAGGCAGCAGUGGGGAAUAUUGGGCAAUGGAGGAAACUCUGACCCAGCGACGCCGCGUGCGGGAUGAAGGCCUUCGGGUUGUAAACCGCUUUCAGCAGGGAAGAAGCGAAAGUGACGGUACCUGCAGAAGAAGCACCGGCUAACUAUGUGCCAGCAGCCGCGGUAAUACAUAGGGUGCAAGCGUUGUCCGGAAUUAUUGGGCGUAAAGAGCUCGUAGGUGGUUCGUCACGUCGGAUGUGAAAAUCUGGGGCUUAACCCCAGACCUGUAUUCGAUACGGGCGAGCUUGAGUAUGGUAGGGGAGUCUGGAAUUCCUGGUGUAGCGGUGGAAUGCGCAGAUAUCAGGAGGAACACCAAUGGCGAAGGCAGGACUCUGGGCCAUUACUGACACUGAGGAGCGAAAGCGUGGGGAGCGAACAGGAUUAGAUACCCUGGUAGUCCACGCCGUAAACGGUGGGCACUAGUUGUGGGGACCUUCCACGGUCUCUGCGACGCNGCUACGCAUAGUGCCCGCCGUCGGGAGGUACGAGUCGCGAAGAAGUUAAACGUUAAAGGUAAAGUUAGUUACGGUCGUUGAGACGUUGCCGACGGACGACGACGAGGGAGGAGG
rnacentral:rRNA from 1 species